UCAAUUGACAGCUCGCUUACGUCAUCAGGCCGCGACAUUUGGCCGGAGAUUCUUGGGGGUCACCCUCACGUGUUUUGUGUUGUUGUGAUCAUGGCGAGGAAGAAGAAGCUGGGGCUCAUCGCUGAGAUGGCCCGGAAGGUCCGGGCUUACCGGGAAUUGAAGAACCGGCCGCGGGACUCCCAGCGUUAUGCGCUGAACUAUGAGACCAUGACUCGACCCUUCACUGGCAAACGUCUGCCAGUUCUCGCCUGGGAGGAUGUAAAGUACGAGAAAAGGCUUUUCACUCUGCUUUCUGGCUUGAGAGCGUUUGGAGUGGGACGAGUAGUGACGAGGAAAUCGUGGCUGGAGGAAUAUAGUGAGCCCUGUUACUGGACUAUAACAAAGGUCAAAGUGGACUACACGGCCGAGAAUAUGGACUAUGGUCAAGCUUGGGGUUACUUGACCUUCAGGGGUAAACAAGAGUCUGAGGAGACCGAGAUAAGCAAAACCAUGUACCACGACUGGCGUCUCGUACCCCGGCACCAAGAGGAAAACUUUAAGAUGUUUACGCCCCUGCCAGAGCCAGAAGCCCUGCCCUGUGUGCCGUACCCACCUCUGUUAAGAGCUAUGAUUUUGGCACAGAUGCAGAAGGAAGGGAAACCCAUAAGUGAACCUCUGCUGGAUCUUCAGAGGAAACGCAUCUACUCCAGGGUGAAGUUUGAAGAGGAGAGAAAGGCCAAGCUGGGGACACCUGUAUGAUGAGGACUUGGUCAUGUGACCUUGGCCUAUAGCAUUGAACAUUCAUGGUGCCCUGGGCCUAGCACCGUGGCAGAUGCCUGGCAUCGUAUGUCUGGAUCGCAAGCGGAAAUACCCCCACAGGAUAUGAUCCUGUACCCCUUAUCUUCAUGUGUACUGGUUGAAGACCACUGUCCUAGGUAAAUGAAUCCUAGGCGCUUCUCACCCCAGGACUAUUCUAAAUUCACUGACCUGUAAUAAACUUCAUUUAUAUCAUAUACAGGAAUCAAUGUUUAUCAAUUGUUUCACUCCAGUAUGUUCUGUGCACUGGACCUAUUCUUAGGAUCAGGUCCAGGCAUGCUGGGAGUUGUAGUUUUGCAAUAGCUGGGUGCAGACUGUUUGGGAAACACUGCUCAGGAUCAUCAAUAUCUGUUCAUGUGGAGUCCAACACAACAUGGAUCAGCACAGUAAGCAGAGAGCUCUGUAUAUUGUCGCUCAGCUCUGAUUGAAGUGAAUGGGAGCUGAGCUGCAGUAUCCAAGCACGGCCACUACACAAUGUAUGGCGCUAUCUGCUUUUAUUUACGCUGUGUGCCCUGUAAUGUAGGUACCACAUCCCUGACAAAUAUCUGAUCAGCUGGGGUGCUGGUAGUCUGCACCCCUCCGAUUUGAUGACUUAUCCUAAGGGUAAGUCAUCAUUAAAAUGUACUUAACUAGUUAACGACCAUGGACGUUUAUACUUGUCUAUGUGCUGUUAUCCGUUGUAUGACACGGGCUCCCAACUCGAGCCCGCGUCAUACCGGCCAGCCCUCAGCUGAUUCUUGUUGUAGCUGGGGCCCAGCGUUAAUAGCCGUCAUGCCGCUGCCAGCAAACAUGACAGCGGCGUCUAAAGGAAGCUGUGAACACUCCCUGGUGGUCCAGUGGGGUGGAUCGUCCCCAAGCAGCACGAUCGCAGGGGGUCAAUCCACUAUGGAGGUAGCCGGAGGGCUUACCUCUGCUUCUGCGGCUGUCCCAGCUCUCCCACUGAUAAAGCCUGGCAGGACAAGGCUUUAUCAAUGGAGUGCAGAUCACACAGAUCAAUGUGGUUCUAUGAACCACAUUGAUCUGUAUGAGGAAUGUAAUGAUUCCUCCUAAGGGGACUAAAAGUGUAAAAAAAAUAAAAAUAAAAAACACACAUUAACCCCUUCCUUAUUAAAGGUUCAAAUCACCCCCCUUUUUCCAAAUUCCAUAUAAAAACAUAAUAAAAAAUAAACAUAUGUGGUAUCGCCGUGUGCGUAAAUGUCCGAACUAUAAAAAUAUAAUUAAUAAUUAAUUAAACCGCACAGUCAAUGGGGUAUACAUAAAAAAAAUACCAAAGUCCAAAAUUGCGUAUUUUUGGUCACUUUGUAUACUCUAAAAAAAAAAUGUAUGAAAACGAUCAAAGUCCCAUCAAAACAAAAAUGGUACCAAUGAAAACUUCAGACCAUAGCGCAAAAAAUUAGCCCUCUUACCACCUUGUAUACGGAAAAAAAAAAAGUUAUAGGGGUCAGAAGAGGCCAAUUAAAUAAACGUAUUUAUUUUGGUGCAUGUAGUUAUAAUUUUAAGUAGUGAAAUAAAGAAAAACCUAUAUAAAUUGGGUAUCAUUGGAACAGUAUGGACCUACAGAAUAAAUAUAUGGUGCCAUUUUUACUGAGAAGUUCACUGCAUAGAUUCGGAAGACCCCAAAAUUUACAAAACAACUUUUUUUCCCCCAAUUUUGCCCCACAAAUAUUGUGUUUUUUUUUCUGAAUUUGCCGUAAAGUGGUGAAAUGAUUGAUGUCAUUACAAAGUACAAUUGGUGGCGCAAAAAAUAAGCCUUCAUAUGAGUCUGUAGGUGCAAAAUUGAAAGUGUUAUGAUUUUUAGAAGGUGAUGAGGAAAAAACCAAAGUGCAAAAACAGAAAAACCCCUGGUCCUUAACCCCUUAAUGACAAUUAAUGUAAAUGUACGUCAUGGUGAUGUGGUACUUAACACACCAUGGCGUACAUUUACGCUCCGCCAUGACCGCGGACACCGGACCGGUGCUUGUGUCAUACGCGGUAGGUCCCGGCUGCUAUCAGCAGCCAGGGACCCGCCGGUAAUGGCAGACAUCCGCGAUUGCGCAGAUGUCCACCAUUAACCCCUCAUAUGCCAUGAUCAAUACAGAUCACGGCAUCUGCUGCAGUGCGGUACUUUAAGUGGAUGUUCGGAUCGCCCGCGUCGCUGCUGCGGCGAUCCGAUCAUUCAGCAUGGCUGCCGGAGGUCCCCCCACCUUGCUCCGGCCAUCUCCCGGGGUCUUAUGCUCUGGUCUGAGAUUGAGCAGACCAGAGCAAAAGAUCACCGAUAACACUGAUCAGUGCUAUGUCCUAUACAUAGUGCUGAACAGUAUUAGCAAUCAGAGGAUUGCUAUAGAUAGUCCCCUAUGGGGACAUAAAAAGUGUAAAAAUGAAAAUAAAAAUAAUUUGAAAAAUCCCCUCCCCCAAUAAAAAAGUAAAAUGUCCUUUUUUUUCCCCAUUUUAUUUGCUAUCACCUCGUCCGUGAAUGUCUGAACUAUUAAAAUAUAAUGUUAUUGAUACGGCGUGUCACAUUUUAUUAAAAAAACUAUUUCUAAAAGUUUUUUUAUAUACAAAAAUGUGGUAUCAAUAAAAAGCACAGAUCAUGACGCAAAAAAUGAGCCCUCAUACUGCCAAUUAUGCGGAAAAAUGAAAAAGUUAUAGGUUGUCAAAAUAGAAGGAUUUUAAACAUACUCAUUUGGUUAAAAAGUGUUUUUUUUUUUUUUUUUUUUUUUUUUUUUUUUAGUACAACAAUUAUAGAAAAGUAUAUAACCAUGGGUAUCAUUCUAAUCGUAUUGACCCUCAGAAUAAAGAACACACGUCAUUUUUACCGUAAAUUGUACGGCGUGAACACAAAACCUUCCAAAAUUUGCUAAAUUGCAGUUUUCUUUUUAAUUUCCCCACACAAAUAGUAUUUUUUUGGUUGCGCCAUACAUUUUAUGGUGAAAUGAGUGAUGUCAUUACGCAGGACAAUUGGUCGUGCAAAAAACAAGCCCUCAUACUAGUCUGUGGAUGAAAAUAUAAAAGUUACGAUUUUUAGAGGAGGAAAAUACAAAAAUAAAAUUGGCCCAGGCCUUAAAGGGGUACUCCGUUACCUUGCUGACGGAGCUCCGCUUUCCAAUGUCC